UGACCUUAGGGCAAUUGGUCUUUUCUUCCUGGAAGUUUUCCUUCAUAUUUCCACAUGGCUGACUUCUUUACUCAGAAGCUGCCUUCUCUUCACUCAGCAUAACACCCUCCAGUUCCAUCCAUGUUGAAGCAAAAUGAUAUAAGCUGCACAGGGCCAGCGAUCUCUCUUUGGUUCAUUGAUAGAACUCCAAUACCUCCCUGGAACACUGCUUGGUGACGUGUGCUCUCCAAAUGGAAAAAUACAGUUCUGUUUUUCCCUUUCGUGAAACUGGCCCAAAGUGUGAACAAAC